CUAGUAAUCGCGGAUCAGCAUGCCGCGGUGAAUACGUUCCCGGGCCUUGUACACACCGCCCGUCACACCAUGGGAGUCGGUAACACCCGAAGCCUGUAGUCUAACCGCAAGGAGGACGCAGUCGAAGGUGGGAUUGAUGACUGGGGUGAAGUCGUAACAAGGUAAC
rnacentral:rRNA from 1 species